CAAAUUUGAAACAUUAUCAUAAAAAUGUAUGUCAUUCUUACAAAGUAUCAAGUAUGCCACUAUGACAUUAUAUAAUAAUAUCAAACUUAAAGUUGUCAAACACAAAAAUACAUAUGAUGAAUUUAACAAAAAUAUAUAACAAAAAGUAACUAAAGUUAAACUUCAUCACAUCAUUUUCAUUAGUAACCAUCUCGACAAGGAGAUACACCCAUCGACGACAGCUAUGAACGCAAACCCAACAUGGAGGAAGAUGAACGCAAACUUAGCAGCUAGAAGAUGAACACAGACCAGAGGCGAGAAAUCAAGUUCACUGUCCUCCAUUUGAAAAAGCUAAUCCUAUUUCAACUGCCUAAACCUGGACAAAAAUCACAAAAACAUUCUUAAUGCGAAUUCUAAAUUGGGAAUUCAAAAUAAAACAAGUACAAUACUGAUCACAAGUGAUGAAAUUGGAAUGUGUUGUUACAAUUGAUAGAAUUAAAAGUGAGACCUCAAUCAAUAGAAAAGAAAAAACAAAAUAAUUGAGGGAAACCCUAAAAAGAAGAGUAUACCACUACCGCUAUUAACAUGACAAUAAAAUAGAAACAAAACCUCAAGGCUCAAGCUACAUCACAUGCUUAGCUCUCUACCAUUUCAAGAACCUGAAGUAAAUUUAAAAGAAUAGACCAUUGAUUUAAGUAAACUUGAAGAAAAAACUUACAACUAGCAUUGACAUCAUAGAACCUGAAGUAAAUUUAAAAGAAUAGACCAUUAAGUUUAAACAUCAUAACAGAGGUUUCAGUAGCAAACUAAACACAAACAUAAACCUUACCACACACAUGAAACUACUACCACAACAUAAACCAAAACCCAAUAAUAAACCACUAACAGGGAGAAAGAAACAGAACU
rnacentral:lncRNA from 1 species